AUGGCUGCUGGCAUGAAUGCUAGUGCUCUGUGCUUCGUCCUGCUAGUCGUCAUGGCGGCCGGCGGGGCGUCGGCGCAGCUGUCGACGGGGUUCUACUCGAGCUCGUGCCCGGGCGCGCUGGGCGCAGUCGCGUCGGUGGUGCAGUCGGCCGUGGCGAAGGAGCCGCGCAUGGGCGCGUCCAUCCUCCGCCUCUUCUUCCACGACUGCUUCGUCCAGGGCUGCGACGGGUCGCUGCUCCUCGACGACACGCCGAGCUUCCAGGGGGAGAAGACGGCGAUGCCCAACAACGGGUCGGUGCGAGGGUUCGAGGUCAUCGACGCCAUCAAGGUGGCCGUCGAGAAUAUCUGCCCGGGCGUCGUCUCCUGCGCCGACGUGCUCGCCAUCGCCGCCAGGGACAGCGUCGUCGCCCUGGGCGGGCCGAACUGGGCAGUGAAGGUCGGGCGGAGGGACUCGACGACGGCGAGCUUCAGCGGCGCCAACAACAACAUCCCCCCGCCGACGUCGGGGCUCGCCAACCUCACGUCGCUCUUCGCGGCGCAGGGACUCUCCCAGAAGGACAUGGUCGCGCUCUCCGGAUCUCACACCAUAGGCCAAGCUCGCUGCACGAACUUCCGAGCACACAUCUACAACGAGACUGACAUCGACAGCGGCUUCGCCGGGACCCGCCAAUCGGGGUGCCCUCCUAACUCCGGCUCCGGCGACAACAACCUAGCACCGCUGGACCUCCAGACCCCGAUCGCCUUUGAGAACAACUACUACAAGAACCUGGUUGCCAAGAAGGGGCUCCUGCACUCCGACCAGGAGCUCUUCAACGGUGGGGCCACUGACCCCCUGGUCCAGUACUAUGCCAGCAGCCAGAGCGCUUUCUUCGCAGACUUCGUGGCAGGCAUGAUCAAGAUGGGAGAUAUCUCGCCGCUCAUAGGGAACAAUGGAGAGAUCAGGAAGAACUGCAGGAAGAGUAACUAA
rnacentral:rRNA from 1 species